GCUGACGUAGCUCAACUGGUAGAGCAGCGCACUUGUAAUGCGCAGGUUGGCGGUUCAAGUCCGCCCGUCAGCUCCC
rnacentral:tRNA from 2 species